rnacentral:rRNA from 1 species
AUUACCGCGGCUGCUGGCACGGAGUUAGCCGGUGCUUCUUCUGCGGGUAACGUCAAUCGACAAGGUUAUUAACCUUAUCGCCUUCCUCCCCGCUGAAAGUACUUUACAACCCGAAGGCCUUCUUCAUACACGCGGCAUGGCUGCAUCAGGCUUGCGCCCAUUGUGCAAUAUUCCCCACUGCUGCCUCCCGUAGGAG